GUACACAAAAAUGCACAUACUGUGAGCUCGAUGAGUAGGGCGGGACACGUGGUAUCCUGUCUGAAUAUGGGGGGACCAUCCUCCAAGGCUAAAUACUCCUGACUGACCGAUAGUGAACCAGUACCGUGAGGGAAAGGCGAAAAGAACCCCGGCGAGGGGAGUGAAAAAGAACCUGAAACCGUGUACGUACAAGCAGUGGGAGCCUCUUAAUGGGGUGACUGCGUACCUUUUGUAUAAUGGGUCAGCGACUUAUAUUCUGUAGCAAGGUUAACCGAAUAGGGGAGCCGAAGGGAAACCGAGUCUUAACUGGGCGUUAAGUUGCAGGGUAUAGACCCGAAACCCGGUGAUCUAGCCAUGGGCAGGUUGAAGGUUGGGUAACACUAACUGGAGGACCGAACCGACUAAUGUUGAAAAAUUAGCGGAUGACUUGUGGCUGGGGGUGAAAGGCCAAUCAAACCGGGAGAUAGCUGGUUCUCCCCGAAAGCUAUUUAGGUAGCGCCUCGUGAAUUCAUCUCCGGGGGUAGAGCACUGUUUCGGCAAGGGGGUCAUCCCGACUUACCAACCCGAUGCAAACUGCGAAUACCGGAGAAUGUUAUCACGGGAGACACACGGCGGGUGCUAACGUCCGUCGUGAAGAGGGAAACAACCCAGACCGCCAGCUAAGGUCCCAAAGUCAUGGUUAAGUGGGAAACGAUGUGGGAAGGCCCAGACAGCCAGGAUGUUGGCUUAGAAGCAGCCAUCAUUUAAAGAAAGCGUAAUAGCUCACUGGUCGAGUCGGCCUGCGCGGAAGAUGUAACGGGGCUAAACCAUGCACCGAAGCUGCGGCAGCGACACUAUGUGUUGUUGGGUAGGGGAGCGUUCUGUAAGCCUGUGAAGGUGUACUGUGAGGUA
rnacentral:rRNA from 1 species